CUCAAGUGAUAGCAGAGCGAGGGCAGGCAAGGACAGCAGAAGAGUGUUUUAGCUCCACUCACAGACGUUGAAAUCCUCUGGCUGGGAGAUUCACUGGAAAGAGGCCCCGAAUUUUCUGUGCUCAGACUCAGUUAUGAAGCAGCACAUUAGAGUGAGAAACAGAGCAAUCAGGAAUCCUGUUACGGGCCGAAGAGAAGCUCCCACGAGGAAAGUCCUGACUGAAAUGGCGUAAUGAGGCAUCAUGAGGGAAUAAAUAUCUUUUCCAGGAACCAGACGUCCCUCUAAAAGCUCCUACAGAAAGUUCCU